AUUGAACGCUGGCGGCAGGCCUAACACAUGCAAGUCGAGCGGAUGAAGGGAGCUUGCUCCUGGAUUCAGCGGCGGACGGGUGAGUAAUGCCUAGGAAUCUGCCUGGUAGUGGGGGAUAACGUCCGGAAACGGGCGCUAAUACCGCAUACGUCCUGAGGGAGAAAGUGGGGGAUUUUGGGCCCUCCGCUAUCAAGUUGACCUAGGUCGGAUUAGCUAGUUGGUGGGGUAAAGGCCUACCAAGGCGACGAUCCGUAACUGGUCUGAGAGGAUGAUCAGUCACACUGGAACUGAGACACGGUCCAGACUCCUACGGGAGGCAGCAGUGGGGAAUAUUGGACAAUGGGCGAAAGCCUGAUCCAGCCAUGCCGCGUGUGUGAAGAAGGUCUUCGGAUUGUAAAGCACUUUAAGUUGGGAGGAAGGGCAGUAAGUUAAUACCUUGCUGUUUUGACGUUACCAACAGAAUAAGCACCGGCUAACUUCGUG
rnacentral:rRNA from 1 species